CUGUUUUUGCCUCUGAACCACCAUACAGCUGAAGAAAUAUCCAGAAGUCUACUCUUGCCUUGUAUCCAGCACUGGGGGCUGGACGUUAUCUGAGACUGCUCCUGUCACUCAUGGUUCACCUGUGGCUGAUCACUGAUUAGCCAGGUAUAAGACACUGUCUCUCCCUGAGGGCAGUGUCAGUUUAUUGACUCUGUUCAAGUAUUGCUGUUUCGUGUUCGCCUGUUGAUUCCUGAGCUUGGCUUGUUAUUUUGUGUAC